AUUGAACGCUGGCGGCAGGCCUAACACAUGCAAGUCGAACGAGUGGCGGACGGGUGAGUCAUGUCUGGGAAACUGCCUGAUGGAGGGGGAUAACUACUGGAAACGGUAGCUCAUACCGCAUACCCUCAGUUGUGCCCAGAUGGGAUUAGCGUGUUGGUGGGGGAACGGCUCACCAAGGCGACGAUCCCUAUCUGGUCUGGGAGGAUGACCAGCCACACUGGAACUGAGAAACGGUCCAGACACCUACGGGAGGCAGCAGUGGGGAAUAUUGCAAAAUGGGCGCAAGCCGGAUGCAGCCAUGCCGCGUGUGUGAAGAAGGCCUUCGGGUUGUAAAGUACUUUCAGCGGGGAGGCGUUACCCACAGAAGAAGCACCGGCUAACUCCGUGCCAGCAGCCGCGGUAAUAC
rnacentral:rRNA from 1 species